rnacentral:rRNA from 1 species
UGGGGAAUUUUGGACAAUGGGCGAAAGCUGAUCCAGCAAUGCCGCGUGUGUGAAGAAGGCCUUCGGGUUGUAAAGCACUUUUGUCCGGAAAGAAAUCCUUGGCUCUAAUACAGUCGGGGGAUGACGGUACCGGAAGAAUAAGCACCGGCUAACUACGUGCCAGCAGUCGCGGUAAUACGUAGGGUGCAAGCGUUAAUCGGAAUUACUGGGCGUAAAGCGUGCGCAGGCGGUUUGCUAAGACCGAUGUGAAAUCCCCGGGCUCAACCUGGGAACUGCAUUGGUGACUGGCAGGCUAGAGUAUGGCAGAGGGGGGUAGAAUUCCACGUGUAGCAGUGAAAUGCGUAGAGAUGUGGAGGAAUACCGAUGGCGGAGGCAGCCCCCUGGGCCAAUACUGACGCUCAUGCACGAAAGCGUGGGGAGCAAACAGGAUUAGAUACCCCUGGUAGUCCACGCCCUAAACGAUGUCAACUAGUUGUUGGGGAUUCAUUUCCUUAGUAACGUAGCUAACGCGUGAAGUUGACCGCCUGGGGAGUACGGUCGCAAGAUUAAAACUUAAAUGAAUUGACGGGGUCAUAGCUGUUUCCU